CGUGAGGGAAAGGUGAAAAGCACCCCGGGAGGGGAGUGAAACAGUACCUGAAACCGUGCGCCCACGAGCAGUCGGAGCACCUAUACGGUGUGACGGCGUGCCUUUUGUAGAAUGAGCCAGCGAGUCGCUGGCGCGGGGCGAGGUUAACCGAAAGGGAGCCGGAGCGAAAGCGAGCCUUAACAGGGCGACUUGAGUCCCGCGCCGCGGACGCGAAGCCGGGUGAGCUAUCCGUGGGCAGGCUGAAGCGGGGGUAAGACCCCGUGGAGGGCCGAACGCACGUCGGUUGAAAACGGCGGCGAUGACCUGCGGAUAGGGGUGAAAGGCCAAUCAAACCCGGAGAUAUCUCGUUCUCCCCGAAAUAGCUUUAGGGCUAGCGUCGCGCGUUCACCGCCGGAGGUAGAGCACCGGAUGGACGAGGGGGCUUCGCCGCCUACCGAAUCCAACCGAACUCCGAAUGCCGGCGGCCCAGAGCGCGGCAGUCAGAGCAUGUGGGCUAAGCUGUGUGCUCGAGAGGGAAACAGCCCGGACCGCCCGCUAAGGUCCCCAAGUUCCAGCCGAGUGGCAAAGGAUGUGCGUCCGCCCAGACAACCAGGAUGUUGGCUUAGAAGCAGCCAUGCAUUCAAAGAGUGCGUAACAGCUCACUGGUCGAGUGGACAUGCGCCGACAAUACACGGGGCUAAGCUGGACACCGAAGCGGCGGGAUUUUGAUUUUCAGAAUCGGUAGGGGAGCUUCCCAUGGGCGGUGAAGCCGCCGGGCGACCGGCGGUGGAGCGCAUGGGAGUGAGAAUGCUGGCAUGAGUAGCGAGAGACGAGAGAGUAACUCGUCCGCCGUGAACCCGAGGUUUCCUGGGCAAGGCUAAUCCUCCCAGGGUCAGUCGGGGGCUAAGGCGAGGCCGGGAGGCGUAGCCGACGCGCAGCAGGCAGACAUUCCUGCACCGCGCACGCGGCGCUACGACCGACGGGGCGACGGAUGGGGGUGGCUCGGCGGGGUUCUGGACGUCCCCGUGAUGGAGCGCGGCCCGCGGACCAGGGAAAUCCGGUCCGCACACAGGGCGAGGCUCCGGACGAAGCGAUCAAGCGAAGCGAGUGAGCCCGAGGUCCCUAGAAAAACCCCUAGGCAGGCGCGUGCGCGCCCGUACCGCAAACCGACACAGGUGGGUGGGUAGAACAUACCGAGGCGAUCGGGUCAACCAUGGUCAAGGAACUCGGCACAAUGGCCCCGUAACUUCGGGAGAAGGGGUGCCCGCGCGUACGUGAACCGGCUUGCCCGGGGAGCGGAGGCGGGCCGCAGUGGAGAGGCCCAAGCGACUGUUUACCAAAAACACAGGACUCUGCAGAAGCCGCAAGGCGACGUAUAGGGUCUGACGCCUGCCCGGUGCCGGAAGGUCACGCGGAGGAGUUAGCCGCAAGGCGAAGCCCCGAAGCCAAGCCCCGGUAAACGGCGGCCGUAACUAUAACGGUCCUAAGGUAGCGAAAUUCCUUGUCGGGUAAGUUCCGACCUGCACGAAAGGCGCAACGACUUGGGCGCUGUCUCGACCAUGGACCCGGUGAAAUUGCACUGGUCGUGAAGAUGCGACUUACCCGCGGAAGGACGGAAAGACCCCGUGAACCUUCACUGCAGCUUGGCAUUGGCCGCUGGUCCCGCGUGUAGAGGAUAGGCAGGAGGCGAAGAUCCGGAGGCGCCAGCCCCCGGGGAGCCGCCCUUGGAAUACUGCCCUCGCGCGACCGGCGUCCUAACCCGAGGCCGUCAACCGGCUCGGGGACCGUGCCAGGCGGGCAGUUUGACUGGGGCGGUCGCCUCCUAAAGGGUAACGGAGGCGCGCGAAGGUCCGCUCGGGACGGUCGGCAACCGUCCUUUUGAAUGCAAGAGUACAAGCGGGCUUGACUGCGAGGCCCACAAGCCGAGCAGGUGCGAAAGCAGGCUCUAGUGAUCCGGCGGCCCCGAGUGGGUGGGCCGUCGCUCAACGGAUAAAAGGUACUCCGGGGAUAACAGGCUGAUCUUGCCCAAGAGUCCACAUCGACGGCAAGGUUUGGCACCUCGAUGUCGGCUCAUCGCAUCCUGGGGCUGAAGUCGGUCCCAAGGGUUGGGCUGUUCGCCCAUUAAAGCGGUACGCGAGCUGGGUUCAGAACGUCGUGAGACAGUUCGGUCCCUAUCCUCCGUGGGCGCAGGAGAAUCGAUGGAGGCUGCCCCCAGUACGAGAGGACCGGGGUGGACGCACCUCCGGUGAACCGGUUGUCGACCAACGGCACGGCCGGGUAGCCGCGUGCGGCGCGGAUAACCGCUGAAGGCAUCUAAGCGGGAAGCCGUUCCAGGGAUUAGUUCUCCUUCCGGUAAGGGCCCAGGUAGACUACCUGGUCGAUAGACGGCAGGUGCAAGGACGGCGACGUCCUCAGCCGAGCCGCACUAAUCGCCCGAGCUCUUCCGGAA
rnacentral:rRNA from 1 species